rnacentral:rRNA from 1 species
AACGAACGCUGGCGGCAUGCCUAACACAUGCAAGUCGAACGAGACCUUCGGGUCUAGUGGCGCACGGGUGCGUAACGCGUGGGAACCUGCCCUUAGGUUCGGAAUAACUCCCCGAAAGGGGUGCUAAUACCGGAUAAUGUCUUCGGACCAAAGAUUUAUCGCCUUUGGAUGGGCCCGCGUUGGAUUAGCUAGUUGGUAGGGUAAAAGCCUACCACGGCGACGAUCCAUAGCUGGUCUGAGAGGAUGAUCAGCCACACUGGGACUGAGACACGGCCCAGACGCAGAGGGGAGGCGGCAGUAGGGGAUCGUACGCAAGGGGAGAAAGACGGAGGGAGAAAAGACGGGUGAGUGAUGAAGGUCUUCGGAUCGGAAAAAUAGGGAAGGAGGGAAGAACAAAUGAGUAAGUAACUAUGCACGUGUUGACGGGACCGAAAUAGAAAGAGACGGAGAAAUAUGUG